rfam:Schistosoma mansoni strain Puerto Rico chromosome 1, complete genome
AUCCAGCUGACGAGUCCCAAACAGGGGGAAACGCGCGUCCUGAAU